rnacentral:rRNA from 1 species
GAUCCUGGCACAGGAUGGACGCUAGCGACAGGCCUAACACAUGCAAGUCGAGGGGCAGCGGAGAGGUAGCAAUACCUUUGCCGGCGACCGGCGCACGGGUGAGUAACACGUAUGCAAUCCACCUGUAACAGGGGGAUAACUCGGAGAAAUCCGGACUAAUACCCCAUAAUAUGGGCGCUCCGCAUGGAGAGCCCAUUAAAGAGAGCAAUUUUGGUUACAGACGAGCAUGCGCUCCA